GCCUCGUGGCCGUUUGAUCUGAUCUCAACGGUCUAGAUCACGCGAGGCCCUGAACUAGUAGGGGUCACAGCCAAAAGCCCAAAACUCUCAUGCCCGCGCCGGCGGGUGAUCGGAGCUGAGCAUUUCACGAGCAGCGGAUGAAGCUGCCGGCGUGGCUCACCGCCGUGCCGCCGGAUCCUAGGGCGUACGGUCACCUCAUCCAGCUCUGCGCGGAAUCCGGCCACCUCGCCGCUGCCCGGCAGAUCCACGCGCGCCUCGUCGCCGCCUCCGUGACGCCCUCCAACUUCCUCGCCUCCAAGCUCAUCUCCCUCUACUCCCGCGCCGACCGCCUGCGCGACGCCCGCAGGGUGUUCGACUCUAUCCCGCAGCCCAGCCUCUUCGCCUGGAACGCCAUCCUCAUCUCGCUCUCCCUCCACUCGCCGGACCCUUCCGCGGCCGUCCGCCUGUUCGCCUCCUCCGCCGUCUCCCCCGACGAGAUCACCCUCUCCACGCUCCUCAGGUCCCUCGCCGCGUCCGGCCCGGCGCUCUCCCCACUCGUCACCGGGGAGCUCCACGCCGUCGCGUUCCUGCGGGGCUUCGGGUCAGACCUGUUCGUGUCCAAUGCGCUCAUCACCGCAUAUGCGAACGCCGGGGACAUGCGCUCCGCUCGCGCUGUGUUCGAUGAAAUGCCGAGAAGGGACGUCGUGUCCUGGAACUCGCUUAUAUCCGCGUGUGCCCGUGCAGGCUGGUAUAGAGAGUGCUUGGAUCUGUUCCAGGAGUUCGUGCGGGUUCGUUGCAGUGAUGGUGAUGGUGUUGGGCCGAACGGUGUCACGGUGACAAGUGUUCUGCAUGCUUGCGCGCAGCUCAAGGUUGUUGAUUUCGGGAUUGGUGUUCACCGAUUUGCUGCGGAGAGUGGGCUGGACAUGGACAUGGCAGUAUGGAACUCAAUAAUUGGGUUUUAUGCCAAAUGUGGGAGGUUACAAUAUGCACGACAGUUGUUGGAUGGAAUGACUAGGAAGGAUUCAAUCAGUUACAGUGCAAUGAUCACAGGGUACAUGAAUAACGGGCAUGUUGAAGAGGGAAUGCAGCUUUUCCGGCAAGCAAGUGCUCGGGGCAUCAGCAUGUGGAAUUCAGUGAUUGCGGGCUUAGUUCAAAAUGGGCGCCAGUCAGAUGUUCUUCGGUUGUUGCAAGAAAUGAUUGCCUCUAAAGUACUACCCAAUUCAGCCACACUUUCAAUCGUCAUGCCUUCAGUUCCUUCUUUCUCAACACUACUGGGAGCAAAGCAAGCUCAUGGUUAUGCGAUCAGAAAUGACUAUGAUCAGAGCAUCAGAUUGGUCAGUGCAUUGAUUGAUGCGUAUGCAAAGGCUGGAUUUCUUGAUACAGCCAGGAAGGUGUUUAAACUGACUGAACAUAGAAGCACAAUUGUUUGGACAUCAAUCAUAUCGGCUGUCGCAGCUCAUGGAGAAGCAGUUGAAGCAUUGAGCCUGUUCAAUCAGAUGAUUACUGCUGGUGCGAAGCCAGACACUGUAACUUUCACCACUGUGCUUAGUGCGUGUGCCCAUUCUGGCAAGGUAGCUGAAGCUCGUAAGGUUUUUAACUCAAUGCAGGCUGUUUUUGGUAUCUCUCCAGUGAUUGAGCAGUAUGCUUGCAUGGUUUCUGCACUCAGUCGUGCAGGGAUGCUCAAGGAAGCAGUUAAGCUCGUCAACAAGAUGCCUUUUGAGCCAAAUGCAAAGGUCUGGGGUGCAUUGCUUAAUGGAGCAGCAGUAGUUGGUGACGUUGAGUUCGGGCGUUAUGCAUUUGAUCGCUUGUUUGUCAUUGAACCUAAGAAUACGGGUAAUUACAUUGUUAUGGCUAAUUUAUACUCAAAUGCUGGCAAAUGGGAAGAAGCUGAAACCAUAAGGAGCAUGCUGUGGGGAGUUGGAUUGGAGAAGGUUCCUGGGUGUACUUGGAAUUGAGGGAGAACAAUCGCUUGCAAGUUUUAUUCCUGUGUUUGCCUUAAAGCCGAAAGCUACACACAUUGAUUUGGUUGUUGAGGGGUUAAAUGGGUUGAAUGAUAGAAAAGAUCUUGACAUCAACCUAAGAGUUGGAUGAAGACAAGUUAUGUCGAUAGCAUUCAAUAGAGCUAAAAGUUGAAAUGUGAUUAUCAUGCCUGAAAGCACAUCGGCAUUUUGGAAUUAUUUGGACCAUCGGAUUCCAUACGCCAUUAUGUGGUCAAUUAUAUUGAUCUGACCAAUUAUCAAACCCUAGGAUGACAAAGGAAAAUGAGAACUGGAAACAAUAAGAGCUUUGCUACCACAAUCUUCAAACCUUUCGAAGUGUAUGAUCUUGAGCUCUAAUUUUUAAUAAGGCCAACAGUUACUACAGCAACAGGAAAGUCAAUGAUUACAAAAAUGAUGAAAGCAGUUGCAUUCUGAUUUGAAUUUUCAGGAAGUGCCUCCACAAGUUAAAUCUCAGUGUUUGAUGAAACACCAAAAGAGCAGCAUACAAAAGUUAGUUCAGUUCAUCAAAAGUAGUUGUUCUAGCUUCAGUGUUUUUAUCUCAUGAAAAUCACUACUGGAUCAUUUCUUUAGCCCACCAUGCUUUUUUGCAUUUUGAAACUGGAAUCUGUGGUUAAUGGGAUUGAACCUGUGAUUUUUUUUCAACAUUUUUUUCUCCGUCCAAACCAAAUCCUUGUCUGCUUUGCAUGCAUGUGCCCAAUCCUAUCCUGCAUUAGAAUUACAACUGCAUAGAGCUAGCACAACAAGAUCUGUCUUUUAGUACCCUCGUGCUUGUGGAUCACGGUUCACAUGCUUGGAUCAUUCUACCUCUUCACUUCCCAGGUCAUGAACUCCAAAAAGGAAAAGCACACAAGCAGCUCUCCGGACUGUGCCCAACUUGCUCUGAUCUUACUACCAGAAAGCCACGACUCUUAUUUCGUUCUGUGCCAGCACUCACAUGCUAAAACUUCACAGGCUGAAGGUUGCAGCGAUCUCCACAUGCACUGACCGACCAAAUGAAGCAGGGGAUAGUAUUACUAGUGGCAACAUUGAUGUGAAUUCCAAUGUGAGCUCCAGCUCAUCCUGGAGCCUUGGAGUUUUUUGCCGGGUGGAGCCUUGGAGUUCAAGUGAAGCUAAGUGGAGCGCUCCAUAAUUGGGAUCACAUCAUGCAUAGGCGUUGAGCACUUGAGCCAUGACAAGUUGUACCACAAAGCAAGCAGCAAGACAAAUCAGCUAUGGUGGUCGAAGAUCCUGCGGCCUGCAGUAUCAUCGCUCCAGAAUCCGAAGCCUCAGAUGCCUAGGAAACACUGUGCACCGUACUGAGCUUAUAGCAUGAAAAAGCCGCAGCUAUCUGUCUACUACGUACCACUCUACUACCUCCAGCCAAAUUGUUGGUGUAUAAUUUCAUAGACUGUUAAGCUCGUGGGCAAGGAAUUGUUGCGCCAAUAGAAUCAGCAGGAGAAUCAAAAGUACACUCGCAGAUCACCACUCAUCCCUCACAUGAUGUUGGGUGCAGUGCUAACUUCCAAUCUCACCAAGCACCAGCGAAUUCCUCGACAUUCAACGUGGCAGAUCAGUUCAGCUCAGCCUAAAUAUUCCUUCCGUUCCAUUUUAAAUAUAUAAAUAUAGUUGUGAAUUUUUAUUUUAAAUAUAUAAAUAUAGUUGUGAAUUUUCAUGUCUAACAUUUAACUAUCUAUCUUAGUUGAAAUAUUUUUAUGAUUAAUAUUUUUGUUGUUAUUAGAUAGUAUUUUAUGUGUGACUUGUUACUUUUUUAAAAAAAUAUAAUUUUUUCUAAUAAGACGUACGGUCAAAUGUUGAACGCGAAAACUCACAAAUGCAUUUAAAAUAGGAUGGAGGUAGUAGUUUACACUAAUUUCCACCAAAUUCUGUAUAUAUUGUUUUCAGAGUUCAGGCUAUUAUUUUUAACAGCCGCAUGCAGGAGAGGACAGCUCAAAUGUCAUUGUUAAUACUUUUGUCCUGUCGCUAAUCUGAUGGGUAACCCUACUCAAAUCAUUUCAAAUGCAGAAGAACACCCAUAGGCCGCUCGUGACUGAGGCGCCGCGACAGGGACACUCGAGGCGUUUUUGUCUUUGUACUACCGCAGUGUAGCCGUCCUCCUCUUCUUUUUUCUCUAGAAAAUACAGAAGUCGGUGGCUUCCCAGAAUUUCAGAUGCUGCUAAAAACCACGAGGAAAAGAAAACCCGGCAAGAGGACACCAAGGCCUGAGAAGAUGGGGCAAAACAACGAGCGGGUUAAAUGAACAUUGCAGAGCGGCCUUUCACGUGGCCUUCUUUCUGCCCUCCCCUUCGCUUCGCUCCCUCUUACACUGCAGUUAUGCAACCCCCAAGGAAACUAAUGUUUGCGUGCAGAUUAUGUGACUGUAAAAAAAAAUCAAGACAAAUGCAAGAAAGUGCGGUCAUUGAAGAAUGUAGGGAGGUGUAAAAAAAGGAGGUUUCUAGGGACACCAGUUAUGCACCUCACGGGUGGCGGUCACGGACAGAGCCGGUUACUGUGGUCAUCAAAUCAGUAGGUUCAGUACACGUCCCCUUACCGUGAUGAGGCGCCUCACCUCACGCCUCAGCCAUCAGACAUCAGACGGACGCCUUCGGCUUCAAGCCUCCACUCCUACUACCUCCCUCCAAUUCAGCAACCGUCUGCACCCCAAGCCCAAAAGCAGAGGCGCAUGCAGCGGCAGAAGCAGCCACAGCCGUCACAUAUCGUACGCCCAUCCCUGACCCCAAAUCUUGGUCCCUUGGAUACUACUACUACCACCAGAAACGUCGACGAGAGAAGGGAAGCUAAGCUAGGAGAAAUGGCUGCCACAGCCAUGCAAUGCAGGGGAGGUGAGCGCAGCGAGGACGGCGGUGGCGGUGGCAUGAGGACAGUGGAGUGCCUGAGAGGGAGGCUGCUUGCAGAGAGGGUAGCAUCCAAGGCUGCCAAGGAGGAGGCUGAUUCACUCGCCAAAAGGCUGGAUGAGCUGGAGAAGAAGCUCUCCGACGAGGUCAAGAUCAGGAACAAGGCGGAGAGGAGGCUCAGGAGGGCCAUAAAGAAGCUGGAGUCCCUCAAGAUUUUGGAUGUGGAGCUCUCGGACAGCUCCAUCGGGUCACUCUCCUCCAAUAGCUGCUCCGGUCACCGCGCGCCGGAGACGGAGGCGGACGUGAACAAUCCUGGCUCCUCGGCUGGUUCAUGCACUCAGGUGAACUCCUCCCAGGAAGGGAGCUGGUGCUCUGUUGUGUCCGAGCAAUCACCAUCUGUUCAUUGCAAGGAGGAGGAGGAGAAUGGCUUGGACCCUGAAGAUGCUAAGAACUGCGGCUCUGGGGAGGAGGCUGGUGACCAUGACUCAGAGAGAACACAUGGAACGCUCCCAUGUAGCAGGGAUGAUGAACCUGUUCAUGUGCCAUCCGACUUCGGCUCAUCAAAAUCCCAAGAUAACCAACGCGACGAGGACGACGACAGGCUAGCGCUGGUGCUGGUAGACCCGCAGCCGAAUGCAGAAACAGGCAACGAAGACGAUAUGCGUAUCGAUAUCCAAGCACGGAAGGCUCAGGCCGAGCCCAGAGAGGGAGACGGCGAAAUGGAGGAGGCGAAUGAGCUCGCGAUCGUGCUCGUGGACCCGCAACCCGAGCCCAAGGCGGAGCCUGCGGCGACGGCGAGGCCGCGCAACGACGUGCAGUCCGUGCUCCUCGCGCUGCGGCAGGUGAAGGAGCAGCUGCGGUACACGAUCGAGAGGAGGUCGGAGCUCGUCGCCCACCAGGAGCUUUGCGGCCACUGUUGAGAGCGCUGCACCUCGUCAGUUUUGAGCAGCGGCUCUUGCUAGUAUUUGCCACGAUACUACUAGAGUUCUUGACAGUGAUAGUGUAGUAGAGUAUUUGUAGAGAAAUUGGAAUAAGAUUUUGCUCCCGUGGCUGUGUUACAUACACGGGAGACAAACUGAGAUAAUUCAGUUGUGUACAAUUUGUUCUCCAUCUGUCAAUGUUAUAUAUGAUGGUCUGAUACGUCUGUUGAAA